AGUGGGAUAGCUGGAUCAAAUGGUGGUUUCACUCUCAGAUUUCCAAGGAAUCUCCAUACUGCUUUCCAGAUUGGCUACACCAAUUUGCAGUCCCACCAGCAAU
rnacentral:pre_miRNA from 1 species